GACGAACGCUGGCGGCGUGCCUAAUACAUGCAAGUAGAACGCAGUUGCGAACGGGUGAGUAACGCGUAGGUAACUGCCUGGUAGCGGGGGAUAACUAUUGGAAAAGAUAGCUAAUACCGCAUACUAACUGAUGGACCUGCGUUGUAUUAGUUAGUUGGUGGGGAAACGACUGACCAAGGCACAGACACAUAGCCGACCUGAGAGGGGCAUCGGCCCCACUGGUACGGAGACAGGGCUCCAACUCCUACGGGAGGCACGAGUAGGGAAACUUCGGCUAUGGACGGAAUGCUGACCGAGCAACGCCGAGUGAGUGAAGAAGGUUUUCGGAGCGUAAAGCUCUGUUGUAAGAGAAGCGGUAUCUUACCAGAAAGGGACGGCUAACUACGUGCCAGAAGCCACGGUAAUAC
rnacentral:rRNA from 1 species